UGCUUGGCUGAUGCCUACAAUGCAGUCGAGCGGUACACAGAGGAGCUUGCUCCUUGGGUGACGAGCGGCGGACGGGUGAGUAAUGCCUGGGGAUCUGCCCGAUAGAGGGGGAUAACUACGGGAAACUGUAGCUAAUACCGCAUAAUGUCUACGGACCAAAGUGGGGGCUCUUCGGACCUCAUGCUAUCGGAUGAACCCAGGUGGGAUUAGCUAGUUGGUGAGGUAAUGGCUCACCAAGGCGACGAUCUCUAACUGGUUUGAGAGAAUGACCAGUCACACUGGAACUGAGACACGGUCCAGACUCCUACGGGAGGCAGCAGUGGGGAAUAUUGCACAAUGGGCGCAAGCCUGAUGCAGCCAUGCCGCGUGUGUGAAGAAGGCCUUCGGGUUGUAAAGCACUUUCAGCGGGGAGGAAGGGUCACUAGUUAAUACCUAGUGGCAUUGACGUUACUCGCAGAAGAAGCACCGGCUAACUCCGUGCCAGCAGCCGCGGUAAUACGGAGGGUGCAAGCGUUAAUCGGAAUUACUGGGCGUAAAGCGCACGCAGCGGUUUGUUAAGUCAGAUGUGAAAUCCCCGAGCUCAACUUGGGAACUGCAUUUGAACUGGCAAGCUAGAGUCUUGUAGAGGGGGUAGAAUUCCAGUGUAGCGGUGAAAUGCGUAGAGAUCUGGAGGAUACCGUGCGAAGCGCCCCUGGACAAGACUGACGCUCAGUGCGAAAGCGUGGGGAGCAACAGGAUUAGAUACCCUGUAGUCCACGCUGUAACGAUGUCGAUUUGAGUUGUGCCUGAGGCUGCUCCGGACUACGCGUAAUCGACCGCCUGGGAGUACGCGCAGUAACACAGUAUAUUGACGGA
rnacentral:rRNA from 1 species